rnacentral:rRNA from 1 species
UUUUCUGCCACCGAAUACAUUAGCAUGGGAUAAUGGAAUAGGACCCUGUCCUCCUAUUUUCAGUUGGUUUUGGCAGCGCGAGGACUAGGGUAAUGAUUAAUAGGGAUAGUUGGGGGCAUUAAUAUUUAAUUGUCAAAGGUGAAAUUCUUGGAUUUAUGAAAGAUUAACUUCUGCGAAAGCAUCUGCCAAGGAUGUUUUCAUUAAUCAAGAACGAAAGUUAGGGGAUCGAAAGACAGAUCAAAUACCGUCGUAGUCUUAACCAUAAACGAUGCCAACCAGCGAUUAGGAAACGUUGAAUACAAAACACCACCAUCGGCGCGGUCGUCCUUGGCGUCUCGGUUUCGGCCGGGGCGCGGGGAUGGCUUAGCCCGGUGGCACCGGUGAAUGACUCCCCUAGCAGCUUGUGAGAA